rnacentral:rRNA from 1 species
CCUACGGGUGGCAGCAGUGGGGAAUAUUGGGCAAUGGGCGCAAGCCUGACCCAGCAACGUCGCGUGAAGGAAGAAGGCCCUCGGGUUGUAAACUUCCUUUAUCAGGGACGAAGCAAGUGACGGUACCUGAUGAAUAAGCCACGGCUAACUACGUGCCAGCAGCCGCGGGAAUACGUAGGUGGCAAGCGUUAUCCGGAUUUACUGGGUGUAAAGGGCGUGUAGGCGGGAAAGCAAGUCAGAUGUGAAAACCAUGGGCUCAACCUGUGGCCUGCAUUUGAAACUGUUUUUCUUGAGUACUGGAGAGGCAGGCGGAAUUCCUAGUGUAGCGGUGAAAUGCAUAGAUAUUAGGAAGAACACCAGUGGCGAAGGCAGUCUGCUGGACAGCAACUGACGCUGAGGCGCGAAAGCGUGGGGAGCGAACAGGAUUAGAUACCCUUGUAGUC